rnacentral:rRNA from 1 species
UACGUAGGGGGCAAGCGUUAUCCGGAUUACUGGGUGUAAAGGGAGUGUAGGCGGCUUAGCAAGUCAGAAGUGAAAGCCCGGGGCUUAACCCCGGGACCGCUUUUGAAACUGCCAAGCUUGAGUGCAGGAGAGGUAAGCGGAAUUCCUAGUGUAGCGGUGAAAUGCGUAGAUAUUAGGAAGAACACCGGUGGCGAAGGCGGCUUACUGGACUGAGACUGACGCUGAGGCUCGAAAGCGUGGGGAGCAAACA